UACAUUUGCCCAAGGUGUGAAUCUGGCUUCAUAGAAGAGCUUCCGGAGGAGUCUAGGAACAUUGAGAAUGGCUCCAGCUCUUCGGCGUCGACCAGCGACCAGAACCGGCAUCCGUUUGAGAAUGUGGACCAGCAGCUCUUCACCCUGCCCCAGGGCUACGGCCAGUUCACAGUCGGGAUCAUCGAUGAGAACUUUGAGUUCCCAGCAUUUGGGCCAAAUGCCCAGCCGGAGGACAACCGGGAUGCUGAGAACCGACGGGAGCGGGAGCACCAGUCCCGGCACCGCUAUGGGGCUCGCCAGCCUCGGGCACGCUUCACCACGCGGAGGGCCGCCGGCCGGCAUGAGGGCGUCCCCACGCU